rnacentral:lncRNA from 1 species
AGUCGUCUGGGUUGUUAUGCGCUUCAUUUUUGCGUUUUUGUUCUUUUUUCUAUUUUCUGUUUCUCGAAUGGGCUAGUUGUUUCAUGGGCUAUUUGUUGGGCUUGUAUGUCAUUGUCAAUUCAAUCUACUGGAUAUCUGGGCUUCUAGUCCGAAAUACAAAACACAUAGAAGCACUUGGUGCCCAGACCAGCCCCCCUCCCGUCCCCAUGGAAAAAAAGGGGAAAAAAAGGGGUACUACCUAAAAAGAAGCCGAUAAUUAAUGGAAAGAAAACCCAGAUACAAGUGCCCAGACCAGCCCCCCUCCCGUCCCCAUGGAAAAAAAAGGGGAAAAAAAGGGGUACUACCUAAAAAGAAGCCGAUAAUUAAUGGAAAGAAAACCCAGAUUAGGCAGGGGAACCCCACGGCACAGGCAAAAAAAAUACUAAGUUGACUGCACAUAAGGCACGCGACAAAAAAAAGUAGAUAAAAUUCGGAAUAUGUAAGUGCAAGACAAAAUACACAUCACACACAAAAUUAAGUUUGUCUCCCACAGAAAAAUAAGAAAGUUGUAGGUGGGUAUGUCCUGGAACCCAAACAUUACAGUCAUUUAGAAACAUACAGAGCCAUUAUAGAAAUAGUAGGUCCUGUGUUUUGGAAAAAUAAAAAUAAAAAAACCAAUAUCUCAAUCUCAUAAUCUAUUUUCCUUUUGCACAUAUCUCCUCUAUUUCUGUGGGAGUUUUCUUCGUUAGUAUCUGCUGCCGCUUGCUCUUUUUACUUGUAUGAUGUUUUCUUAGAAAUGUUGUCUCUGUUGUCCCUGGGAAAGAAAAAGAAAGUUUAUUGAUGAAAUUUUUAUUAGAAGUAGAAUAUGUAGUAACAUAACACAAACUCACAUUGGGCCUGUUUCAGGCUCGCAGAAACAACACAACCGAUAAACAGAAUAAAACAGAUAGUUGCACAUAUUGAUCCAUGAUAUGCAACUCGCCUCUCUAGCACCAUACUAAGUUGCACACGCAGACAGAACGUGUGCAACACCCAAACCCUAACCUCCCUAUUUUCAAUCGCACAUGUUGACCCGUGGUGUGCAACUCGGACAUGGAAAAAGUGAUAUGAAAGGACAACUCAACAAACAAAGGACACUCUUGAACCCCCACCUCCCUAUUUUUGGUUGCACAUGUUGAUCCGUGGUCUGCAACUCGUCCUCUCUAGGACCAUACUAAGUUGCACGUGCAGUCAACUCGGACAUGGAAAAAGCGAUACGAAAGGACAACUCAACAAACAAAGGACAUUCCAAAAUCCCCACCUCCCUAUUUACCGUUGCACAUGUUGAUCCAUGCUGUGCAACUCGUCUUAUCUAGGACCGUAUUAAGUUGCACAUGCAGAUAAGCCAUGUGCAAUUCAGACAUGAAAAAAGCGAUACGAAAAGACAACUCAACAAACAAAGGACACUCCUAAACCUCCACCUCCCUAUUUUCAGUUGCACCUGUUGAUCCGUUGUCGUAGCACGGGGCUCAGACACCGGGGAUGCGUGAGCACCACCUUUUAGGUUCGGCAAUCGGCGUCGAGGAUUGCUCCGGCGAUCGCCGGCGAGGCCAAUGUCA